ACUUGAGACAUAGUAGUAUAGCAUUUCAUUUAUACUUUCUUUCAGCAGUUCUUAUACUCGCCCUUUAUUGUUUGUUAUUAUUGUCGUUACUUACCCUUUUCUUUUGGGGCCUAGUGGUGUAUUGAGCUGAGGUCAGUAAUUUUCCACUGGAAACUAAAAAUUAUAGUUCUCACGCCCUCUGUUUUAUGUUUUCUUUCAGAGCCUUCCACGCUGGGAGAGGCUAGGGACCGAAGGAAGGGCGUGGCUUCGAGCUAGCUCUU
rnacentral:lncRNA from 1 species